AAUUCUCAACUUCAAAACGCUUUGUUUUGAAGCUUGGACUUUGGAGGUCUUUUGCCGGCAUCACUGUCAGCUCCUCUUAAAUGCAUUAGCGGAACUUUAUUAAGGACCAGCUUUGGUUUGAUAAUCCUAUCUAUGCCGUCGCUGUGGACUUUUGUGUUCAGCUUCUAAUGGUCUUCGGACUGUCUCAUUUACGAGGCAUACGCUUUUAA
rnacentral:misc_RNA from 1 species